CCCAGCGCUUCGCACUGGGCUCAUAUCUUUCGCACUUUCAGUGCU
rfam:Prevotella marshii DSM 16973 genomic scaffold SCAFFOLD1, whole genome shotgun sequence.